GGAAAGGAUGCCGAGAGAAAGAGAUGUGGACAAAAGCGAGCUAAAAAUAAGCCGUUAACAUCACCUCUGUAACCAGGGGUUAAAAAACAGAGUGGUUCCCCAGCAAGUACCUAAAGGAAUAACCCAGCGGUUUGCUCUCCUAUUUUGAGCUGUUGGCCCCUUUUCGUUUAUAGCUCUGCAACGGCUUCACCCUCCCGCAACAGCCCCCUGAGGAGUCUCAAGAGAUUUACAGCUUCUCCCUGUCUCUGCUAACUUACUUCUAAUUAAGUUACUGAAUCACGUUUGCGUGACAUUACCAUGUU